CCUAGACACUCCCUGGGAAAGAAACACACAUAAAGACUUUGGAAGCUCAGGUUAUGACAGGCUUUUCAAGAAGCCAUGUCUCAACUUCAUUUCCAUUUUCAACAGGAUUACUUGACUAGUAGGUUGGGAGGAACAAUAUAGACACAGAAUAUUUGAAUCUUAGGAAGGCAUUUAACAAGGCUGUAUAAAAAGAUAAUAAUAAUUACUAUGGUUCUUUCCUAACAGUAAAAGCAUUUGACAAAGUCUCUUCUUAUGGAAGAAAGGAAGAGAUACAGCUGACUUGGCGAAGGUAACGUGUAAUGACUUCAAGGAUCAUUCUUAUUACCAGAGACUUAAGACAAUGAUGGAAGAAAUAUUAAUGAUCCAGAUCAUAAAAGGAUAUUGCACAUACUUUUUUUUUUCUCCAAAAGUCAAACAUUUACCAGAAUACCCCUGAACAGGUGACAAGAACAUCACUGAAGAUUUAGAUAAUUUUGAAAAGGAAAGAGGCAUACUCUGGAAUUCCAUAAACUCCUUUUUCAGUUUGUUAACAUCAACCCAAUUAGCAGACUAAUUAUACAAAACAAUAAUUCUAAAAAAGCUGAUGUAUGCCACAAUCAUAGUGAACGAACAAAUUUUCCCAAGAUAUUUGACAGAAAAUGUAAUUUCAGAACCUACACAGAACAGUAUAUAUGGUAGCCACUGGCAUAGUAAGAACCUUGGGAGAAAAAGAACUGUCAAGCAAUACCCCUAUUGGCAUCAGGCAUCAUCAUGGCAGAAAUAACUUGAGCUAUUAAAGAUGUAUAGAAAGGAAUUAGAAGAUUAGAUCAAUAUCUAGUUGAUACAUAUAACAGAAAACUCAAGUGUUAUAUUGACCAACAAGCCUGACAAAAAACCCAUGAUAUUGAAUCUAUACUACAGAAGCAUAUUUAAAGAUUUAAUUUGCUUAAUUAGCAACUACAAAUUAAAAGUAAAAAAAUUAAAGUGAAAAAAAGAAUCCAAGUAUCACAAAGAACAAAAUAAACAGGUCAAUAGCAGUCA
rnacentral:lncRNA from 1 species